UGGGGUCUGCCGGACGCGUGUUCCUGCCACCAGGUGCCCGCUCCCCGCGAGGCCGGCUCAGGAGCAGGGUAAGUCUGGGACUGCCGUUCGGGCCUACCCAGCAGGUAAGUCUUAGGCCAUCGCCUGCAGCGUGGGCCCUGAGAGCAGCGCGACCCAAGAUUGCAUCAAACGUUUGCCCCGUCCUUGCAUAUGUGACUGGACGUGAAUGAUGCUUCAUUUUGGCACCCCCUUUCCCUGCUCAGGUAGAAUUUAAACAAUUGAAAAAAAUCCCUUCCCAAUCAGAAUACCAUCCACAGGACAAUGAAGAAAACUCAUCUUCAGUCCCCAACCACGAAAUGGUGGGGGGUGGGGAGGACUGGAAAAGGAGUAAGGGGAGAGGAAGGGUGAGCAGCUGCAAGAAGUUUUCACACCUCUCUGCCGUUCCUGGUAAACGCGCUCAUGUCCUGGGUAUGGAAGGGACUUAAGAGUUCAGGAAAGAUAAAAGUAACAGGCUGCUUCCCCACUCCCUCGCCCUCCCUUCCCCGCUGCUGGGUUAGGGAGGCUCCAUGGAGCUCCAGCACCCUAGAAGGAUCCGGUGAGGCGCGAGGCCUUGCGGGCGGAUGAACCCAUGGCGGGGUGGAAGGCGCCAACCUGCCCAAUCUGAGCCUGAGGCCUGCUGAGAAGCGUGGGGGCCUUGGGAUAGUUCCCGAAUGAGGAUGUGCGUUUCUAGCUUCUUUGCGCCCUCCUCUCCCAAAAAUCUGCUACCACAAUUCCACCCUGGAGGCGCGCCCCCAAGACUCCUUUGUCGCCCCAGGGGCGGGACCUGAGCUGUCGAUUGCAGGGGCCCUUCGUGACUCCAAAAGUCCUGGGCGCUGUCGCUCAUGAGUGCUGCACAACUGUCGCCCUCCAAAGCCACCUCCAUCCCUCACUGGGCUGGCCUCCUGAGCCUUCGGUGAGGACAUGGGGUUGCGAGUUGCCCGCCUGGGAGCUUGACAGCCUGACUGGAAAAGGGCUAAUUCGCUAACUUUCUGUGCAAAUCACUUGAGCUAAUUAUUUGAUCUGAAACAUGGUCAGGUAAAGGACCAUUGGCGGGCGUGGGGAGGGAGGCGUGGAAUCUUUCCCACACUUUUUGUCACCUUUCAACAAAAGCCACAACACACCCAAAUCCCUCUGGUCUGAAUGGGCUGGCUAGAACUGGGCUUCCCGGGACCAGGAGUGGGCCCCUAGAAGUUUCCCAGUUUGGGGUGGGGCCGGGGUUCCGGAGUCCAGAGCUGGGAGUCGGGUUCAGCGACCCGAGACGCUGGUUCUCCCAGACUCCCUUGCGCCGGGGCAGUGCGCGGGGGCGGCUCGGGUCCCUCCCGGGCCGGCGGGGACCCUCAGGCUCCCGGGGCGCCGCCCACCAGCCCGACCCGGCGGCGACUCCCAGGCCUGGAAGCCCCCAUUCUGCUCCCGCCCCGCCCCGGCCGGCCAGCGCAGGGCCCCUCAGGCCCGCGAUCUCCAGGCUCAAACGGCGAACAGGUCCCCGCAUCCGCCUGCCUUUGCACUUGGGGGUGGGGGAGCCACCUUGUGACGCCCCUUCUGCCUCUCACCAGCUUCCCCCUUUCUCCCCGUUCCGUACGGUUCCCCCUGGAGCCAGAAGGAAGCCCGGUGCCAGCCAGCCUUCCUGAAAAGACCAAGCCCGCGCCAUCCGGCUUCCUCCAGUGGACGCCUGCAGGACCCAGGAACACUGCAUCAACACUCUUGGCGGGGAUCUGGACAAGAAGACUCCUGUUUCAAGAAAAUACAAUCAUCUCUCAAAGGCUGUAAUUUAUAUGCAUUUUAAAACUCUCUAGGCAUUGAAAACCGCCCAAGUGUCCCAAAUAGAAGGGUAAAAUAUAAUCAGUCACUCAGUGUAAUAUUAUACAUCCUUUAAAAAUGUUAUUGGGAAAUGUUUUAUGAUCUGUAAGUCCAAGGAAUCUUCUCCCACCAUUUCUUUCUCCCCACUGUUCCCCCAUACCCACACUUCUUUGUUCCAAUUGGCAUGUAAAUUUGGUUUUCCCGCCAAAUGAGUCAGUCAUGAUGGUAACAUCAACUGAUUUGAACAGAUGUGUGUCAAUGUUACUUGGAAAACUAGAUGUCAAUAACCAGGGCCACAGAAAAAGGCAGUGGUUGCAACUCUGUAAAAAUGUAUGCAUGCACACAGACAAGGACUAAAGUGGAACCCCACACAGGAAAACAGUGGGCUGUACGCCAGUGCUGGGACAUUGAAUGACUGUAUGAUGCUUUUGAUUUCUGUUAAUACGGGCAACUGUCCAAUUAAAAACUCCUAAGUACUCUGCAGUGCAAAU